AAGUCGUAACAAGGUUUCCGUAGGUGAACCUGCGGAAGGAUCAUUACCGAAUUAAAUUCCGGGGUUGUAGCUGGCCAUGAAUUUGGCAUGUGCACACUCUGGCAAUCCAAAUACAAACCCUUGUGCACUAUUUUGUGGGAUUGAUUGAAGUCAUUCUGUGCUUGCGCUGGGUGGCAUUUGUCAGUCUCAUAUAUUUACACAUAAACUCUCAGUUAUAGAAUGUUACUGCGUGAAACGCAUCUUAAUACAACUUUCAGCAACGGAUCUCUUGGCUCUC
rnacentral:misc_RNA from 1 species